rnacentral:rRNA from 1 species
UACGUAGGGACCAAGCGUUGUCCGGAAUCAUUGGGCGUAAAGGGCGCGUAGGCGGCUUGGCAAGUGGAUGGUGAAAUCCCUCGGCUUAACCGAGGAACUGCCGUCCAAACUGCUUUGCUUGAGACCGGGAGAGGUGAGUGGAAUUCCCAGUGUAGCGGUGAAAUGCGUAGAUAUUGGGAGGAACACCAGUGGCGAAGGCGGCUCACUGGACCGGUACUGACGCUGAUGCGCGAAAGCGUGGGGAGCAAACGGG